CCUGUCCUUCUGUGGAGCUGCUCUUCUCCCUUUCUUCUCCAUUUCAACUCCCCUAGGGUGGAGGUCGGGAAGCCUGGUUCGUUUACUCAGCUUCGCGCUCUCUCUCUGGAUCAACUUCCCAUUUCUUCCUCCCCUUCUCUCUUCCUCUUCCUCAGGCCUCUCCCUCCUCACAUGCAGCCCCACCCAGCAGGUGGGGGCAGGGCAGGCUGAUAAACCCUUCCCUCCUCUCUCCUCAGGCCUCUGCUUGUUUUGCUUCCUUCUCCGCUGCUCUCCCUGUCUCCCUUUCCUUUUCUCCUCUCUUCUCCCCCUCACGCCAUGCAUCAGGCCGUCCCUCCGUCCCUACUACAUUGGUAAAGGAACUAUUCCGUUUUUUCCUCUUGUUCUUAUUUUUGCUUUAAAGUCAUAUUUUGCAACAGUACAGUUUCUGAGCAAACUGCUAACAGAAAUCCUGAGGGUCGGGUGCUUCUCCCAAAGCUUGUCUUUGUGACACUACAAGCUACACACAGUAGGGAGUUUCACUGCAGGGUCAAUUGGUAAUCAAAUAGAGGUGCCAACAGGUACAGAGAUGAAAAUACAUAGCAGCUGCUUGAAAUCUCCUUCAGCACUAAACAAUUAAAUGUCUUGCUGCCAAUCAAACAAGGAGAAACUGUCCCUUGGGGCCUCCUCCCCUUGAGUGUCAGGAUCCCUCUCCAUUUUAAAUCUCUGAAAAUGACUGCAACUGUUGAUAGCAGUUAGGAAAGGAGGUUGCAUGCAUUUCCCUCAAUAAGGCGGGCAUUGUGAUGUAGAGCUUCAUUGUGGCGUCCGAUGUCUCCUGUGAUUAAUUUCAUUUUAUCCUUGGGGAACGUCUAAUUAUAUUGGCAGAAAGGAAAAUAAUCAAGAAGAGAAGGAACUUGGCAUUAAGGAGAAACUUUCUAAUGUGAAGACAAUGAACCAGUGGAACAGCUUCCUUUCAGAAAUUGCAGAUGCUUCCAUCACUGGAGGGUUUUAAAAAAAGAAGAGACAGCCACCUGCCUAAAAUGGUGGCGGAGGACUGGGAGCCACAGCGAAGGGAUGAAAGAGCCGCAUGCGGCUCAGGAACCACGAGUUGCUGAUCCCUGGUCUAAUCUCUUCUUAAAAACCUCCAGUGAUGGAGCACCCAUGAUUUCUGAAGACAAACAAGACUACCAAAGAAAGUACAAUGGGGAAUGAGGAGGGAUGUGGCAUCCGGGACAGGGUUGUAUAAAGAAGGAAUAUUUUGGGUUGGAACUUUGGAGAGAACCAAGCUUUGAUAGCUUCUCUCCUCGCUUGUUGCAAUAAAUGAAAUAAAAGGCCUUCACUGUG